rnacentral:rRNA from 1 species
AGGGUUCGAUUCUGGCUCAGGACGAACGCUGGCGGCGUGCUUAACACAUGCAAGUCGAGCGGAGAAUAUAGCAAUAUAUUCUUAGCGGCGGACGGGUGAGUAACGCGUGGGCAAUCUGCCUCAUACAGGGGGGAUAACACUGGGAAACUAGUGCUAAUACCGCAUAAAAUAGUGAAGUGGCAUCACUUUACUAUCAAAGGAGCAAUCCGGUGUGAGAUGAGCCCGCGUCCGAUUAGCUAGUUGGAGGGUAACGGCCCACCAAGGCGACGAUCGGUAGCCGAACUGAGAGGUUGAUCGGCCACAUUGGGACUGAGACACGGCCCAGACUCCUACGGGAGGCAGCAGUGGGGAAUAUUGCGCAAUGGGGGAAACCCUGACGCAGCAACGCCGCGUGAAGGAUGAAGGUUUUCGGAUUGUAAACUUCUUUGAUUGGGGACGAUAAUGACGGUACCCAAAAAACAAGCCACGGCUAACUACGUGCCAGCCGCGGC